rnacentral:hammerhead_ribozyme from 1 species
AGCCGAAACGCCGGGACGGAUUCCGGCGUCGUCGCGGGGCGGUACCCGCGGCCUGACGAUGGCAGCCACGC